AUUGAACGCUGGCGGCAUGCCUUACACAUGCAAGUCGAACGGAUCAGAGGAGCUUGCUCUUCUGGUUAGUGGCGAACGGGUGAGUAAUGCAUCGGAACGUACCCAGUAGUGGGGGAUAGCGUAGCGAAAGUUACGCUAAUACCGCAUACGACCUGAGGGUGAGAGCAGGGGAUCGCAAGACCUUGCGCUAUUGGAGCGGCCGAUGUCGGAUUAGCUAGUUGGUAGGGUAAAAGCCUACCAAGGCGACGAUCCGUAGCUGGUCUGAGAGGACGACCAGCCACACUGGGACUGAGACACGGCCCAGACUCCUACGGGAGGCAACAGUGGGGAAUUUUGGACAAUGGGGGAAACCCUGAUCCAGCCAUGCCGCGUGAGUGAAGAAGGCCUUCGGGUUGUAAAGCUCUUUCAGACGGAAAGAAAUCUUCCGGGCUAAUACCUCGGGAGGAUGACGGUACCGUAAGAAGAAGCACCGGCCAACUACGUGCCAGCCGCCGCCGUAA
rnacentral:rRNA from 1 species